GGCCUCGGGUACGUCUGGUGACGUUGGGUGACUGUCUAUCACCUUCAGGCGGGUUCGAUUCCCGUCGAGGCCG
rnacentral:tRNA from 1 species